rnacentral:misc_RNA from 1 species
GAAAUGCGAUAAGUAAUGUGAAUUGCAGAAUUCAGUGAAUCAUCGAAUCUUUGAACGCACCUUGCGCUCCUUGGUAUUCCUUGGAGCAUGUCUGUUUGAGUAUCAUGAAAUCUUCAAAGUAAAUCUUUUGUUAACUCAAUUGGUUUCUACUUUGGUAUUGGAGGUCUUUGCAGCUUCACACCUGCUCCUCUUUGUUCAUUAGCUGGAUCUCAGUGUUAUGCUUGGUUCCACUCGUCGUGAUAAGUUAUCUAUCGCUGAGGACACUGUAAAAGGUGGCCAAGGUAAAUGCAGAUGAACCGCUUCUAAUAGUCCAUUGACUUGGACAAUACUUUUAUGAUCUGAUCUCAAAUCAGGUAGGACUACCCGCUGAACUUAAGC